rnacentral:rRNA from 1 species
GACGAACGCUGGCGGCGUGCUUAACACAUGCAAGUCGAACGGAAAGGCCCUGCUUUUGUGGGGUGCUCGAGUGGCGAACGGGUGAGUAACACGUGAGUAACCUGCCCUUGACUUUGGGAUAACUUCAGGAAACUGGGGCUAAUACCGGAUAGGAGCUCCUGCUGCAUGGUGGGGGUUGGAAAGUUUCGGCGGUUGGGGAUGGACUCGCGGCUUAUCAGCUUGUUGGUGGGGUAGUGGCUUACCAAGGCUUUGACGGGUAGCCGGCCUGAGAGGGUGACCGGCCACAUUGGGACUGAGAUACGGCCCAGACUCCUACGGGAGGCAGCAGUGGGGAAUAUUGCACAAUGGGCGGAAGCCUGAUGCAGCAACGCCGCGUGCGGGAUGACGGCCUUCGGAUUGUAAACCGCUUUCGCCUGUGACGGAGCGUGAGUGACGGUAAUGGGUAAAGAAGCACCGGCUAACUACGUG